UGGCUAAAAGGAAGCCAGGUGCUAAU
rnacentral:piRNA from 1 species